CAGGAAACGUGAAGCUCGACUUGUUCCGGGCUGGCCCACAGAUCUGUUUAGGGAAGCACCACGCGCACACUAAGAACAUCGACCUUCCACGAGGGAGCUGGCUGCGGAGGGUGAAGCGCUGAACUCAGGAAUCCCUCCUCCAGGAGACGCCUGGAAAAGCAGUGCAGAUAUACCUAUUGAGAAGAUGGAAGACUUACUUUCAUCAUCUGAAUCAAAUCCAAAGAGUGUCUGACAUUUCUUUUGUGCAAGGCCAAGGUCUUCCAUGGGGCUACCUGAGGAUCUGCUGAAAGACCCAAUUUUCCUCUUAAGUUGGUCCAAAGAAGAGCAGCUCUAAGAGUCACAUGACUUGUUCAAAGGCAUCUAGAGUCACAGUCAUAAUAUGACCUCAAGCAGCGUCUGGGAUUGAGAAGUACAUAAAUCUAAUCAAAGCUAUCUAUAGAUGUCAAAGUUUUAUCUGAGUUCAAAAAGGAUGGCCAGUGGAUUUUAUCAAGUAAACAGAUAAAGAAGAGUCAAGCUUCUCAUUAUUUUGGGCAUAAAUCACUUUUUAGAAUGAGACAGAAGAAAAACUCAAUGGGAUUAUUACAAAUCCAAAGGCCUAAAGGGAUUUAAAAGGCCUAUUCCUCAAACACUUUGUUCAUGCUCAAGAAGAACUAAAUUGGUUUUAAAAAGAUGAUAUACUUACAAUUAAACUAACAGUGGGAGAAUUAAAAAUAAAUAAAAAGAGAUCAUGUAGUGAAGAUGGAAGAAGAAAGGGACUUCCUUAAGUUCACUCUUAGAAGCUAGACUAGACAGAUAUGAAAAAAGAAAAAGGAAAUCUAUAUACUAGAACUAUGUGCUUUGAAAGAUGGAAUUAACAGGGAAAGGUACUUUAGUUGUUACUCAUUAGAAAGGAAGGGUGACUUGUUCCAAACAUACCUAACAGAGGGAGGAGGUAAGUGUAGGAUGGAAAUUUUGGAGUGAACCAAACUGGAGAGCCACCCAUGGCAAGAUACUCUUUUAAAGCAAUAGUCUAUAAUAAGAACAUGUGAAAAACACACUUUGAAUAUACAGUAACAUAAAAUCUGUACAGAUUUGAAAGGUAAAAAAAAUAUCUGAAGGAUUCAGGUGCAUUUCAAAUUACUCGUUAUUACAAAGGCCAAUAUAUGGUAUGGUAUGGUACAACAAAGGGAAGUGCCCCAGGAACUCAAAGACAGGACUCAGAGAGUGAAAAAGGAAAAGCAAUACUGCAGAAAAACAAAAUAAGAGAACAGUACUACAUUUGAUGUUGAGCUGUUAAGAUUUUAAGUCAGGGAAAUGAGAGUGGACAAAAUCUGUCUGAUGAUGCUUUUUGAUGAACUAAGAAUUCCUUGACUUUCAUCUCUGACAUCAUAGGAGAGCUUACAAGAGACAAUCAAAGAAUAUUGAAACGAGGGCCCAAAAACAGAAAGGAAGAAAGGAGAGGCCAACUCAAGAGUAGGUUAAAAUAUAAACAAAAACAAAAACUAGCUGUGUUUAUCUGAAAUAGCAUAUCCUACUAUUGCAGAAAGAAAUGUGACAAAAAGGAACGUUUAUAUUGUCAGUGAAGCAGAACAAAUUUCUCAAGGCCUAAAACAGUUAAAAGCAGAGUAUUACAAGAGGUCUAGAGAAGCAAGUGGCAGAAGAGAUACUGAGUUCACUGGGCUCCUGAGUACAGACAUCAAAAAGAUCAAAAGCAGCUUCAUUUCAGGAACCCAUUUAUUUUUAUUACCCAAAUAACACAAAUAUGGAGCACAGGAGUGCUUUUAUAAAAGAUUUUAGUCCAACAGGCCUAAGAAUUUCAUGGGGAGUGGCAAUAGCCAAGGUAGCACAGGACUAAAAAUGUCCUGGCACAAGACUGGGGACAGAGAAAUCCAGAGGCAUGAGCAGAACAUUGGGGCUGUGGAGACUGCAAGGUUAGGUUCAUGGGCUGUGGAGACUGCAAGGUUAGGUUCGUGGAGACUGCAAGGUUAGGUUCAUGGAGAUUGCGCUUUGAGCUUUACACAGAACAAAUGGUACACUCUUUACAAGAGGCAGUAAAGAUGCUGUGCCACUAAAUAAAAUCCAAUUACUGCAGCAAAGGAAUGACCCAGGACAACACAAAGGAAAUGGAAAUUAAAAGCUUUUAAUAUGAAAGAAAUCUAAAGGAAGAGACAUAAAGUACAACCUGGUACCUGGGGCUGCCAUCCAUGGAAAUCUGUAAACAUUACAAGGCAGAAAUUCAAAUACAACUUUCAAUGAAGUAGAAUGUUCAGUUUGCCACCAGCGUUCCACUAUGGCUCUAACCAGAUGAUGCUGAUGGGGUCUCAUACCAGAGAACAUAUCCAUACUGAAUGGAGGACACUGCUGAAAUGAUGAGCUGACCUGUCAGAGAAAUAGGAAAUAAGCAAUCUGAGGUAAAGAGAGAAAAAAAUAAAAGAUGGGGAUAGCUAACAAGAUGAAAGUGGAAGUUAUCGAGUAGGAUUUAGGACAAGAUGUUUUUGGCAUACCCCAGAGAUACCCUGACCCUGUUCCUGCUACUUGGAACUCAGAUGUGGCUGGAACUCCACCAACCAUCUUGGACCAUGAGGCAACAUUGAGAUAAGACAAGGACGACUGAUAAGAAUGAGUAGGCAAUGAUGGUACAAUUAUGAUAAAGCCAUCAUAUCAUCCCUACACUCUCCAUUCAAGACUUUUCACAUAAGAAAUAAAUGACUACUACUGUUUAAGCUAUUUAAGUCAGGUCUCUAUUUAGCAGCAAAAUACAAUUACUGAUAUUUUAAGUCUUGUAAGACUUUUUUUAGUUUUACUUUAUUUAUUUAUUUUAAAGGUAUUAUUGAUAUAUAUACUCUUAUGAAGGUUUCACAUGAAAAACAAUGUGGUUACUACAUUCACCCAUAUUAUCAAGUCCCCUCCCAUACAACAUUGCAGUCACUGUCCAUCAGUGUAAGACUUUUUAAACUUAAGUGCAUGUAAAAAUUUAUAAAAAUUUAAGUAAAUUAAAAAAUAAUUCCAAUUAAUAGGAGGAAUUGUUAGAAAUGUAUUCUUAUACCAUAAUGAACUACUCAAAGCACCAUAAAUACUAUGUAAAUUCUAUACCAAGACUAAGCGACAAGGAUUAUAUUUUCCUAAAACAAAUUUUUAUCUCUCAAAGUAAGAGAUAUUAAAGCAAACUUGUUUUUCUGUUAGAUUGUCUCUUCAGUGCCUAUUAAGAUACCUAGUACACAUUAGUUGUUUAAAUAUAUUUGAGGACCAACAAAUACUUUUUUGCCAUUUGCAUGAGCAUUACAAAGUAUCCACUACAAGUUCCAAAGUGACAGUACAGUGGAAUGUCUCAACUUCUGCACUACUAAUAUUGUGGUCCAGAUAAUUCUUUGUUGUUGGGGCUGCCCUAUGUACUGUAGGAUGUUCAGCAGUAUCCCUAGCCUCUUUUCACUAGAUGCCAGUAGCAGCAUCUGCCCCUCCUCCAUUAAAAUAAUCAAAAACAACUCUAGAUAUCACCAUAUGUCCCCUACAGGAAACAAAAUCUCUGAGAAAAUGUCGUAUUUUGGUACAUCAUUUAGUAAUUAAUCAAGAGCAAAAUGACAGAGUUUUAGAACUGUAACAUUUCUAAGUUUUCUCUAAAGUUUACUGUGGGAUACAAACUGUAAGUGACCUACAGAUUAGAUUAUCUCUAAUAUCCCACUUAAACCUUCAGAGGAUUUUACAUGAGAGACAUAUUAAUAGCUUCCAUUUAAGCCUACCUAUGUACUAGGUAUAGUACUGAGCACUUCAUGCUCAUUUCCUCAUUUUAUACUCAUGACAUCCUCAUGGGAUGGCUAUAAAACCCACUGCAGGAAGAAACCAUUUUAUAUUUUAAUCAACAUAUCAAAGUGUUUCCAGAUAUACUUAUUUAUCUAUAGUACUAUAUUCAUUCUGGCACUGAACUAAGAAGAAAAUACCUUAACUUGCUUAAUUUAAUCAAUUUAUUAUCACAACAUUUCAAUUUAUCUAAGAACAAAAUAAGUUGAAUUAUUACAACGUUCAAGAUUUGGGGAAUGUUUGUAGCAACUAGAAAGUGUAAAAAAUAAUAAUUAUCUGCUUCUUGAAAUACUUUUUACACUGUGGCAUAAUGAAAGAGGACUUUUAAAAUUUUUCAUCCAUGAUUCCCUGAGUACUUCCAGUAACUUUGUUUUUCCCUUUCCACAAUUUGCCAAAAAACAUAAACACCUCACUUUAUAAUAUUUGAGGAUUAUUUGUAAUUUCAAUCUUUCAGUAGAAAUUAGUAGGAAAAAGCUGGGCUCAAAUCCUAGCUUGUCCACCACCAAAACUGAAGACAAUUUAACUUGUUCAAACAUCUAUUUCAAUAAUGUAACUUAGAUAAGACUUAUCUGAAGGCCUUAAGAGUUAGUAGACUCUCAAUAAAAAUUACUUCCCCUUCCUUUUAUCCUUAAAGCAAAUUAAAUAUAAUUUAAGAGCCAAUUCUACUUAAGCAUUUGUUGAGAGUCUACCAAUAAGAGCCAAUGGAGAUGUGAAGGGGCAGUAGACCAAUGUUACACCAUACAACUGUUUGGAAAUCAGCACUUCCAAUCUCCCAAAUCCAUCAACUCAAAAAUCAACUGAAGCUUAAGAGACUAUUCUCUUAGUUUAAGAUUCUAUAAUUACCGGUAUCAUUUCUCAAACAGAAAAGUUUAUCAUCAAAUGCAUUGAGUGUAUGCAUAAUUUAUCACAUUAUCUAUUAUCUUCUGCUUUACUUUUCCUUAUGGUAAAAGGACCUCUCUUAAAAAGAAGUAUUUCUUCCUCUCCCCCUUCACCCACACAACUAACUGCCAAGAAAUUUUAUUUCAUAUUUCUCUCUACAAUGAGGAAGAUAAAUUGGAGUCUUUCUUCUUAAUGCCACAAGCCUCUAUAUAUAAUUCGUAUUAUUUAGUUAACUGCCACCCACCCAAGUGCAUAUUACCCAUUUCAUGGAUUCCUCAUGAUUAAAAAGAAACAAUCUUUGAGAAUUAGAUUAUAUAAUCCACUGCUUCCCUUGCUGAUAUAUAAAACUGAACUACUAUACAGAAUUUUAUUAGUCAAUGAAUAAAAUUCCAAUUAAUACAAUCUUUUAUUCCAUCUUAAAAGUUUUAACACACAAAAAAAAGACUUCUCAAAGCUCACCUGCAAGGUGGAACCAGGACAGGAACCCUAAGAACAAGAUCUAUUAUUCAUCUAGAGUAUAUAAAAUAUGUAAUGA